GGGCGCACGCGCGCUACACUGACAGAGACAGCGAGUNUUUUUCCUUGGCCGGAAGGUCUGGGUAAUCUUGUGAAACUCUGUCGUGAUGGGGAUAGAGCAUUGCAAUUAUUGCUCUUCAACGAGGAAUUCCUUGUAAGCGCAAGUCAUCAGCUUGCGUUGACUACGUCCC
rnacentral:rRNA from 1 species